rnacentral:rRNA from 1 species
UACGUAGGGUGCAAGCGUUCAUCGGAAUUACUGGGCGUAAAGCGUGCGCAGGCGGUUAUGCAAGACAGAUGUGAAAUCCCCGGGCUUAACCUGGGAACUGCAUUUGUGACUGCAUCGCUGGAGUGCGGCAGAGGGGGAUGGAAUUCCGCGUGUAGCAGUGAAAUGCGUAGAUAUGCGGAGGAACACCGAUGGCGAAGGCAAUCCCCUGGGCCUGCACUGACGCUCAUGCACGAAAGCGUGGGGAGCAAACAGG